rnacentral:rRNA from 1 species
CUUGGUCAUUUAGAGGAAGUAAAAGUCGUAACAAGGUCUCCGUAGGUGAACCUGCGGAGGGACCAUUACAAGAACGCCCGGGCUUCGGCCUGGUUAUUCAUAACCCUUUGUUGUCCGACUCUGUUGCCUCCGGGGCGACCCUGCCUUCGGGCGGGGGCUCCGGGUGGACACUUCAAACUCUUGCGUAACUUGGCAGUCUGAGUAAACUUAAUUAAUAAAUUAAAACUUUUAACAACGGAUCUCUUGGUUCUGGCAUCGAUGAAGAACGCAGCGAAAUGCGAUAAGUAAUGUGAAUUGCAGAAUUCAGUGAAUCAUCGAAUCUUUGAACGCACAUUGCGCCCCCUGGUAUUCCGGGGGGCAUGCCUGUUCGAGCGUCAUUUCAACCCUCAGGACCUCCUGGUGUUGGGGCGUCACGGCCACCGUGAGCCCUCAAAGUCAGUGGCGGGCUCUGUCCACACACCGAGCGUAGUAAUCUCUCGCUUAGGGGUGUGCCUAGGCGCGGCCUUUUGUGACACAUAUCAAGUUGACCUCGGAUCAGGUAGGAAUACCCGCUGAACUUAAGCAUAUCAAUAAGCGGAGGA